rnacentral:lncRNA from 1 species
CCUGGAACCCUGUUCUCUUCUUCCCUCCUGCGGACUGCUCCGAGUCGUGGGCCUGAGAGGUUCAGAUCAUUGGGAAUUCGUGUUCUUACUGAACCCAGACUGGGGGAGUCGGCCUCAGCGCAGCACUAGGAUUUGGUGAGAAUGGACGACAAGGUCCCGUCGGCGUGUGUUAUAAGCUGGAUUGCGUCCUCCCCAAAUUCACAUAUCGAAGCCCUUCCCCCACCCCAGUACCUCAGAGUGUUGCCGUUUGGGGAAAUUGGGUCCUUAAAGAUGCAAUUGUUAAAGUGGGGUCAUUAGGGUGGUCUCUUGUCUCCCAUGACCGGUGUCCCUGUAAGAAGAGGAAAUUCGGACACAGGGAGAGACAGCAAAUACGUGCCCUGGCAGAGCGACGGGCGUGUGAGGAGCCCAGAGAAGACUCGCGUCUGCAAGCCCAGGAGAGAGGCCUCUGAAGCCAAACCCGCCAGCCGACACCUUGACGCUGGACCUCUGGCCUCCGGAACCGUGAGGAAAGGCAUUUCUGUUGCUUAAGAGCCCCAGCGUGUGGUAGGUGGUGGUCGUGACCCUCACACACUGGUACAGAAUCCUAAGCCAACGAAUCCUGACUCCUUUCCCUGCUGCCCUCAGGGAUGAAGAUGGAAAGUCUGGGGGGGGCCUGGAAGGUAGCCCCGACCUCUUGAUUCUAAAACCGGUGUCUUUGGGGCACCUGGGUGGCUCAGUCGGUUGAGCGUCCGACUUUGGCUCAGGUCAUGAUCUCACAGUCUGUGAGUUCAGGCCCCGCAUCGGGCUCUGUGCUGAUGGCUCAGAGCCUGGAGCCUAUUUC